rnacentral:rRNA from 1 species
UACGUAGGGACCAAGCGUUGUUCGGAUUUACUGGGCGUAAAGGGCGCGUAGGCGGGUGCUCAAGUCCGGGGUGAAAUCCCACAGCUCAACUGUGGAACUGCCUCGGAUACUGGGUGUCUCGAGGGUGGCAGGGGUAUGCGGAACUAUUGGUGGAGCGGUGAAAUGCGUUGAUAUCAAUAGGAACUCCGGUGGCGAAGGCGGCAUACUGGUCCACUUCUGACGCUGAGGCGCGAAAGCCAGGGGAGCAAACGGG